rnacentral:lncRNA from 1 species
AGAGGGACACCGCCAUUGCUGAGCGCAACAAUGCGAUAAUGGAGAGAGACAGUGCUCUUACAGCACUCCAAUACCGUGAGAACUCUAUGGUUACUGCUCCUGCUGCCAAUAUGUCAGCAUGUCCACCAGGAUGUCAAAUAUCACGUGGUGUAAAACACUUGCACCAUCCGCACAUGCAUCAUCAUCAUCAACAACAUCACAUACCUCAGUUGACUGAAAAUGCAUAUGAAACCAGAGAGAUGGAGCCAAAUGAUGGUCUCCCAACAUCACCACCUGCCGGAUCCACCUUGGAAUCUGCCAAACCAAAACGUGGUAAAAGAGUGAACCCAAAGGCGACAACACAAACUGCUGCUAAUAAGAGAGGGCCAAAAAAUCAGAGGAAGGUUAAGAAAGAGAGCGAGGACGACUUAAACAAGAUAAUGUUUGUAAAGACGACCCAUGACUACACAGACGAAGAUUCAAGUAAGCAUAUCUUAAUAGGAUCAAAAUCUGACUGGAAAAGUCAAGAAAUGGUGGGGCUGAACCAAGUGGUUUACGACGAGACAACGAUGCCACCACCUGUAUGUUCAUGUACAGGAGUUCUCAGACAGUGCUACAAAUGGGGAAAUGGAGGUUGGCAAUCAUCGUGUUGCACAACUACACUAUCAAUGUAUCCUUUACCUGCACUGCCCAACAAAAGGCAUGCUCGAGUUGGUGGACGGAAAAUGAGCGGAAGCGCGUUCAACAAGCUUCUAAGCCGGCUUGCUGCAGAAGGGCAU